rnacentral:rRNA from 1 species
UACGUAGGGGGCAAGCGUUGUUCGGAAUUACUGGGCGUAAAGGGCGCGUAGGCGGCACGGCAAGUCAGGAGUGAAAGGCCUGGGCUCAACCGAGGAACUGCUUUUGAGACUGCCGAGCUAGAGUGCAGAAGGGGCAACUGGAAUUCCCAGUGUAGCGGUGAAAUGCGUAGAGAUCGGAAAGAACACCAACGGCGAAAGCACUCUGCUGGGCCGACACUGACACUGAGAGACGAAAGCUAGGGGAGCGAAUGGG